rnacentral:rRNA from 1 species
AACGAACGUUGGCGGCGUGGAUUAGGCAUGCAAGUCGAACGCGAAAGGGUAGCAAUACCCGAGUAAAGUGGCGAACGGGUGAGUAACGCGUAGGAAACCUGCCUUCGAGUGGGGGAUAACAUUCCUAACGGGGUGCUAAUACCGCAUGAAACUGCGGGAUCGCAUGGUUCUGCAGUCAAAGGUGGCCUCUAUUUAUAAGCUACCGCUCAAAGAUGGUCCUGCGUCCCAUUAGCUAGUUGGCGGGGAACGGCCCACCAAGGCAUCGAUGGGUAGCCGAUCUGAGAGGAUGACCGGCCACACUGGGACUGAGAUACGGCCCAGACUCCUACGGGAGGCAGCAGUCGGG